GGCAGUGUAGCACAGCGGUAAGGAGCGGGACUUGUAACCGAAAGGUUGCGGGUUCGAUUCCCCGUGCUGUUG